CAGAGUGAACGCUGGCGGUAGGCCUAACACAUGCAAGUCGAACGGCAGCACAGGAGAGCUUGCUCUCUGGGUGGCGAGUGGCGGACGGGUGAGGAAUACAUCGGAAUCUACUCUGUCGUGGGGGAUAACGUAGGGAAACUUACGCUAAUACCGCAUACGACCUACGGGUGAAAGCAGGGGACCUUCGGGCCUUGCGCGAUUGAAUGAGCCGAUGUCGGAUUAGCUAGUUGGCGGGGUAAAGGCCCACCAAGGCGACGAUCCGUAGCUGGUCUGAGAGGAUGAUCAGCCACACUGGAACUGAGACACGGUCCAGACUCCUACGGGAGGCAGCAGUGGGGAAUAUUGGACAAUGGGCGCAAGCCUGAUCCAGCCAUACCGCGUGGGUGAAGAAGGCCUUCGGGUUGUAAAGCCCUUUUGUUGGGAAAGAAAUCCAGCUGGCUAAUACCCGGUUGGGAUGACGGUACCCAAAGAAUAAGCACCGGCUAACUUCGUGCCAGCAGCCGCGGUAAUACGAAGGGUGCAAGCGUUACUCGGAAUUACUGGGCGUAAAGCGUGCGUAGGUGGUUAUUUAAGUCCGUUGUGAAAGCCCUGGGCUCAACCUGGGAACUGCAGUGGAUACUGGAUGACUAGAAUGUGGUAGAGGGUAGCGGAAUUCCUGGUGUAGCAGUGAAAUGCGUAGAGAUCAGGAGGAACAUCCAUGGCGAAGGCAGCUACCUGGACCAACAUUGACACUGAGGCACGAAAGCGUGGGGAGCAAACAGGA
rnacentral:rRNA from 1 species